CCUACGGGAGGCAGCAGUGGGGAAUAUUGCACAAUGGGGGAAACCCUGAUGCAGCGACGCCGCGUGAAGGAAGAAGUAUUUCGGUAUGUAAACUUCUAGCAGCAGGGAAGAAAAUGACGGUACCUGACUAAGAAGCCCCGGCUAACUACGGGCCAGCAGCCGCGGUAAUACGUAGGGGGCAAGCGUUAUCCGGAUGUACUGGGGGUAAAGGGAGCGUAGGCGGUGCAGCAAGUCAGAAGUGAAAGCCCGGGGCUCAACUCCGGGACUGCUUGUGAAACUGUUGAACUAGAUUGCAGGAGAGGUAAGUGGCAUUCCUCGUGUAGCGGUGACAUGCGUAGAUAUUAGGAGGCACCCCAGUGGCGCAGGCGGCUUACUGGACUGUACCUGCCGCUGCGUCUCG
rnacentral:rRNA from 1 species